GUGCCACGAGCUUCGUUGAUAUAAGGACCUUCCAAAAUACUAUGUACGAAACAUUCAGAGAGGCGUGCGAAGCCCGUGGUUUGCUCGAAGGUGACAAUGAGUGGAACCUACUAUUUGAUGAGGCAAUAGUCUCUGCCUCGGCGUUUCAACUUCGACAAAUGUUCGUUACCAUUGUCGUUCAUUGUCCUAUUUGCAAUGUUCGUGCUUUGUUUGACAAAUAUUGGAUCUACUUUACCGAUGACAUACAACGUGGUCUUAGAGAAGCCCUUGGCAACCCGCACUACACAGCUCCACAUGAACAACUUCUUACGUUGCUUUUGAGGAAGCUAGCAGAC
rnacentral:misc_RNA from 1 species